AAUAGAUACCCGGGUAGUCCACGCCGUAAACGAUGGGUGCUAGGUGUAGGGGGUGUCGACUCCCUCUGUGCCGAAGCUAACGCAUUAAGCACCCCGCCUGGGGAGUACGGCCGCAAGGCUAAAACUCAAAGGAAUUGACGGGGGCCCGCACAAGCGGCGGAGCAUGCGGAUUAAUUCGAUGCAACGCGAAGAACCUUACCAAGGCUUGACAUGAACCGGACCGGGCUGGAAACAGUCUUUCCCCUUGUGGGCUGGUUUACAGGUGGUGCAUGGUUGUCGUCAGCUCGUGUCGUGAGAUGUUGGGUUAAGUCCCGCAACGAGCGCAACCCUCGUUCUAUGUUGCCAGCACGUGAUGGUGGGGACUCAUAGGAGACUGCCGGGGUCAACUCGGAGGAAGGUGGGGACGACGUCAAAUCAUCAUGCCCCUUAUGUCUUGGGCUUCACGCAUGCUACAAUGGCCGGUACAAAGGGCUGCGAAACCGCGAGGUGGAGCGAAUCCCAAAAAACCGGUCUCAGUUCGGAUUGGGGUCUGCAACUCGACCCCAUG
rnacentral:rRNA from 1 species